rnacentral:rRNA from 1 species
UCGAUGAGUAGGGCGGGACACGUGGUAUCCUGUCUGAAUAUGGGGGGACCAUCCUCCAAGGCUAAAUACUCCUGACUGACCGAUAGUGAACCAGUACCGUGAGGGAAAGGCGAAAAGAACCCCGGCGAGGGGAGUGAAAAAGAACCUGAAACCGUGUACGUACAAGCAGUGGGAGCACGCUUAGGCGUGUGACUGCGUACCUUUUGUAUAAUGGGUCAGCGACUUAUAUUCUGUAGCAAGGUUAACCGAAUAGGGGAGCCGAAGGGAAACCGAGUCUUAACUGGGCGUUAAGUUGCAGGGUAUAGACCCGAAACCCGGUGAUCUAGCCAUGGGCAGGUUGAAGGUUGGGUAACACUAACUGGAGGACCGAACCGACUAAUGUUGAAAAAUUAGCGGAUGACUUGUGGCUGGGGGUGAAAGGCCAAUCAAACCGGGAGAUAGCUGGUUCUCCCCGAAAGCUAUUUAGGUAGCGCCUCGUGAAUUCAUCUCCGGGGGUAGAGCACUGUUUCGGCAAGGGGGUCAUCCCGACUUACCAACCCGAUGCAAACUGCGAAUACCGGAGAAUGUUAUCACGGGAGACACACGGCGGGUGCUAACGUCCGUCGUGAAGAGGGAAACAACCCAGACCGCCAGCUAAGGUCCCAAAGUCAUGGUUAAGUGGGAAACGAUGUGGGAAGGCCCAGACAGCCAGGAUGUUGGCUUAGAAGCAGCCAUCAUUUAAAGAAAGCGUAAUAGCUCACUGGUCGAGUCGGCCUGCGCGGAAGAUGUAACGGGGCUAAACCAUGCACCGAAGCUGCGGCAGCGACGCUGAUGCGUUGUUGGGUAGGGGAGCGUUCUGUAAGCCUGCGAAGGUGUGCUGUGAGGCAUGCUGGAGGUAUCAGAAGUGCGAAUGCUGACAUAAGUAACGAUAAAGCGGGUGAAAAGCCCGCUCGCCGGAAGACCAAGGGUUCCUGUCCAACGUUAAUCGGGGCAGGGUGAGUCGACCCCUAAGGCGAGGCCGAAAGGCGUAGUCGAUGGGAAACAGGUUAAUAUUCCUGUACUUGGUGUUACUGCGAAGGGGGGACGGAGAAGGCUAUGUUGGCCGGGCGACGGUUGUCCCGGUUUAAGCGUGUAGGCUGGUUUUCCAGGCAAAUCCGGAAAAUCAAGGCUGAGGCGUGAUGACGAGGCACU